CUUUUAAAGGCAUCACCUAAUUAGGUCAGGCCCACUCAACAGUUGAUUAACCUUAAUUAUAUUUGCAAAAUCCCUUUGCCAUUUAAGAUGACACAAUAAUUGGAAUGAUAUCCCAUCAUAUUCACAGGUCCUACCUAUACUCAAAAGGUGGUAGGUUAUACAGGGUGGAUAUAGUGUUGAAAGAAGGAAUGAAUGAAAUGAAUGAAUUCUGAUAGCUGGAAGCACAGCAACUAGCUUUUUUUGUAGCAUGAGUGAGAGAAGGUAUUGAGUUCCUUAUUGAAGAAUGCAGUUGCAACAGUUUAUCACUAGUGAGCUGCUUCUUGGUAACUAUAAGACAUAAGCAGACAAGAAACAGCAAGAAAGGAAGGAAGGAGAAAAGAGAACGAGAAGGAAAUCAUUAUUUUGGACCGAUUUCCGGUGGUGGUUUCAAGAAGUUCUCCCCACCCUCCAGACUGCUGUCAUUUACAAUUGCUAGAGAACAAGAGCUGGGAGCCUCUCCUUGGUUCUGCUCCUGUGGCAUAGCCAUGGGGGAUGCAGAAGGGCAGUGGUGCCCACUAAAGGGAAUCCCCGUCAGCUUUGGUUUUAGUUUCCAGAGAUUGAGCCUCUGCCUUAGGCUGAGAGAAAAACUUAGUGUGAGUCUUUAUUUGCUCCCUUAUAAUCACAGGCACAUGUGGCACCUCCUCCCCCAUCUCUGCCCCACCUCUUCCAACAGUGAGAUGCAUUAGGUGUGGAAAGGAAGCCUUCAUUUCAAAAUCUCCUGGCUGCGGUUAGCUUUAAAAAUCAAAUGGAACUGUGGUCGUCUGUGUUUAAUUUGGAAGAGCAGAAAGGAUGCGUGCUUUGUGGCGCCUGCAUAGUGAAAGUCUCCAUGACUUAAUACCACUGCCCAGCCUUAGAAGCUUCCCAUGCAGACAAUGGCCCUGCUUCCCCAUCAGUUCUUGGGCUUGGGUGCCACCUUAUAUAAACAUUGCUGCUUUUAGUGCAUCGCAGAAGCAAAAGGAUGACACAUUAAUAGCAGCUGGAGGAUCUCAUUAAAAUUCGGAGGAAAAUAUGAAGGCUGGAGCCUGGUAAUGUACAGACAGUAAGUCUUUGUCUGUCUGAUUAACAAUUGCAUGCAUUCUAAGUGCCUUGCUGGAUGGUAAGAACCAGCAUUUCAGCCAGAAGUACCAUGUUCUUCUCCUUAAGAAUAACCUAUUUCUGUUUUUCAAUUCCCUUAUCCCCUCUAAAAAUAAUAUGCUGGUCUUUUGGACUCCCUUGAGAACUGAAACAGCUUAGCAACUGGGGCAGUCCCUGAGAGCUGGUGCAGAAACAACUGUUGCUAGCUUGGAUUUGAAUUAUGCAGUCAGAUGCUUACAUCGUGGGAGGGGGAUGUACGGGGUGUGUGGCCUUCAGAUGCUUACAUUGUGGGAGGGGGAUGUACAGGGUGUGUGGCCUUCAUGCCAGAAAGGACAGGGAAGCACUCCCUGGUUGGCGGGAGGAGGGGAGAUGCUGGGGUUGAGGCCCUUACCUUUAUUUAUGUUGUUCACUGGUACAGCCAGACUGCAACCUCUCAACUCUUCAGACAAGACCUAAGGCCGACAAAAUUCACUCCCUCAUGAAGAACAUUGGGCUGUUUCUCCCUGGUGUGUAGGUGGUGGGAGUGAAGUAGAGGGGCUCGCUGUGUGCAGGGAAAGGGCUGCAUUCUCAAGAAUUUGUAUGUAGCCCUUGGACUAAAAACAAAAUAUUCCAAAGGAAUGCUUCUUUUGGAACCCUGGUCCAGUCCCUCGUCUAAGCAGGAGUGCCCUUAUAUGCUUGACUGUGGAUGGCAUCUGAUUACGGGCAGAAGGUUGCACUGGAUUGCUGCCUGAUGCGGACCCACAGAACACAGUUUAACUCUGGCUCUGUCAGCAGUCAUCAGUGUUUAUUUUUCCAACUCUUCAGAGAGAUAUUAGUCGUUAUGAAAAGUGUACCAUCUCAGAACUCCAUGGAAUAAGCUGCCAAUAUAAGACAGGUUGAAAUUAUUGUGUCUUUUUGCCUAGAGUUAUUUUUAGUUAUUUUUUCUUCCUUGGAAUUUCUUUUCUUUUUUUUUUUUAACCAUAUAUGCUAACUUUGUAGCUGGUGGCAAAAAAAGAUUAUUUUCCCUAUAUUAAUGACUUCUUCAGCUGAAUUGAGGAAUAGGGUUACCAGCUCUUUUCUUGGAGUUUAACACUCUCAAUCUGAUAAUAUGAAUAACACCUCAAUAACCACAAC
rnacentral:lncRNA from 1 species